GUUUAUAAUGCGCGUUAUGCACAGAGACAUUCCAUCACAUUCAGAGUGUGUAAAAAUACUUUGGAACCCAGAACGACACAAGUGCCGUCUAGCUGCGACACCGGAAGAGGUGUGCGGAUCCCAAAGUCAAAGGUGCACAGGUGUGUGGAUUUGCGACCGCCGUGCACAUGCGUUGCCACCAGCACAGACGGCCGACUUGUCAUUCAUUAAUGAUCCUUCCGCAGGUUCACCUACGGAAA
rnacentral:misc_RNA from 1 species